ACAAGCCAGUCCCUUUCUGCAGAAUUGCCCCCAGUGGAGGAGGCAUAUUGUUCAAGAGCAGCUAUUGUUUCUGUGCGUUGAGGAUACAAAUAGCAGUGAGAAUCAGAAGCAAAGGAAAGCACUUGCUUGACACGUACACAUUAUCUUUCUGCAGUGGCAGGAUUGCAUGAACAUCUGAGGCAGCAUUACUGGUAAGGACUCCCAAGAUUUUACUAAGGAGUCAGGUUAAAUGUGAUGAGCAACUACUGGGCAGCACUUGUAGUGUGGGGUGACGGUAAAGGAUCUCUCAACGAUAACAGCAGUGGCACCAUGGCUAACUAGUACUGUGAAGAAGAAGCAUGAUAAACUCCUUUUGAAUGUCUUUUGCCAGGUAAGCUUCAUGAUGAAAUAAUCCAAAAUGAAACAAGAGAUAAUGCCAGAAGAUGAGUUUCCCAGGUUGGAUGGGCACUCAACUAGCUACUGGGAUACAGUACAGGAUAACUAUGAGUAGUAGUACUGUUGCUAAUGUCACAGCUGGACAUUCAGUUACUGGCAUGCUCAGAGGUGAGAGGAGAAGCUGCACACAUAUUAUAGGAACAUGGGAUAUGAGAAAUAUUAAUUCAGGGAAGCUAGACAUAGAGAAACACAAAUGGAACAUAUAAACAUUGCAAUACUUGGGGGUGAGUGAACUAAGUGGACAGGAAUGGACGUUUUGAAUUAGAUAAUAGUACAAUGUUUUACUCAGAAAACGAAAAACCAGUUGUCAUUUAUAGUGAAGAGAGAUAUAGCAAAAGAGUCAAAAGAUAUAAUGCAAAGUCUGGCCAAAUAAUAUCAAUUAGACUUCAGGGAAAACCCAUCAAUAUAAUUAUAAUCAAGUCUAUGUCCCAACUACAGAGAAAGAGGAGGAGGGGGAUAAAGGAAGAAUAAAAAGUUAUAUGCUGGAGUCCAGAAGGAAAUUCACCACAGACCAAAUCAGGAUUUGUUGUAAAUCAUAGGUGACUGGAAUGCAAAAACAGGAACCAGAGCAAAAUCAAAGAUUUCAGGAAAGUUUGGCUUAAGACAAAGAAAUGAAGCACUGAUAACAUUUUACUAGGCCAACAUCCCUAUUCAAUUUAAAAAAUAGAUUUGCACUAUUAAGCCUAAUUUAAUGGACUAAUGAAACUCUUUAAGCAAUUAAGGACAGACAAAAGGCAAAAAAAGGAAAAAAAAUGUCAAAAGAUGAAAACCUGAAUGCUAUGCUUCAGCAGGGAAAAAAUGCCCAGAAUUUAAGAUAUGCAGAUGAUAUCAUAUUCAUAGCAGAAAUUUUCAAAGAUGUUAAAUGAUUACUGAAGAAUGUCAAAGAACACAUUUGCAGAUGAAGAUUAAGAAAACAAAAAUAAGUGCUACAGAUGAUUUACAUGAUUUUAAAGUAGAAGAUGAAGACAUUGCAACAUUUCAAGGCUUUGCAUAUUUUGUUUUAGUGAUAGAUCAAAACAGAGACUAGAAUUUGGAAGGACCACUAUUAAGAUCCUGAAAUGGAUCUUGAUCCUUAAAUGUAAAAAUACAAACUGAGGAUUCCUCAUCUAGUGUUCCAAACUCUGUGGCCCUAAAUGUUUUAAGACUUGAGCAGGGCUGGUGGUGAUAGGGUGACUUGGAGGUCUCUCAUUUAUAGGGUCACCAUAAAUUGAAGUUGACUUCACAACAGUCAACUGCAACAAGAUCUACUUUAGAUUUGAAUAUCAAUGGAAACACUGAUAAUAUUAAAUAAAUAUGUGUAUGAUUUUAAUAAACUGUAAGAGGUAAUAGCCCCUAGUAAGUUAUUAUAUGAAAGAAAUGUCACCCCGUUUUCUGCUAUAUUCAGUGACUUAAAAUAUACAUAUAAAAGGCAUAAAAUUAAAAGCAGGACUUGGAAAAGUUACUUUUUGGCCAACUACUUGCAAAAUCUCCCAAUCAGACUGGUCUCUAGACAUGUGAUUUUCUAAGCUCUAAAACAGUUUCAUGCUGGAAAAUCCAUGAUAAAUAUCUCAAUGAAACGUUUGAGACUUGCUGCAUCAGAGCUCCCCCUAGCUUCUGUAUGCAGAUAUCCUUUUAAAAUGCAAGCUGCCAUAUUUUUUUCCACAAUGCAAGCUACUUUUGAUUAGACUAUUCAUAGCCUUUCCACAUCCAACUGCACAUGUUGUUUUAGUAUGAUUCACAGAGUGGUUUUUUGUUUUGAUGUGGCUGAGCAUUCAAUAGCUUUGUUGUCUGCUAAAAGAAUUUAAAAAGACUCAAGUUUAAUUGAUAUGCAGCACUAGUUUUUAAACAUCUGAAACAAAAUCUACAUCUUACAGUUCUGUCAUGCUUAAGCCUAGUUCUGAACCCCUAACUUCAGCUGUAGAAUCAGAGCUAAAGCAAGAGCCAAAGUUCACUUUCAAUUUUAAUUGUGUUAGUAAUAGAGAAAGAGGAAAUAAUAAAGAAAUAAUACAAAGACUGUAAAACAUUUUGACAAAAGAUGCACGUGCUAUAGAAUUAUCCAUACAUAAGAUCUAACUAGCUAAAAUCAGUCAAGCUGGAAAUUUUCUAAUGAACAUGGGCAAGUUAAUUAUUUUUAAAACCAUGCUGGCAUUUCAGCAUGGACUGAAUUUCAGAAACAAUUUAUUAAGUAAAUUAUUAAUCAAUUAUAGCUGAAAAAGUGCUAAACAGUCAUCAGCAUUUACAUUUCACCGGUACUUUACUCAAAAUAUAGUUAUUUUUGAAAAUCUGAUUUUUUGGGCAAUUUACAAUGCUUGAGACAUAGGUUCCAAACCACUUACUUUAAUGAUUACGGUAUGAUAGUUUAUUCAAUUCCAAGGUCAAAAGAUUUCAAACCAACAAUUAGGAAGUGCAGGUUUGCUCCUAAAGUAUUGUGUUCUACAUGUGACCAUGCAUAGAGGCUCUUUAUCUGGCUGAGGAAAUUGCUUUUGGAAGCUCUUAAACCUAGGAUUUGUCACCCACAACUAGCAUCUAUUAUUUUGUAAAAUGAAGAAAAACUAGGGUUAGGAGAUUAUAAGGGAGGAAAAAAACAGAAAGAAAAAGAGUUUUUUGUGGGAUGAAUGAGUAAAUAGUUCUUCAAAAAUUAUGCAGCUGUUUCCUUCUCUCUUAUGCUCAAAACAAGGGGUGAAAAAGAGGAGGGCAAAGAUAAAAUCAUAGAUGCCAUUUUUUAGAUUUAUUGUGGUAUAGGUUUUAGUGCAACGAUUCUACAUCAAUUUCAUAGCUACAUUUCUCUUCAACACAAAUGCAAUUUACCGGUACUUAUUUUCAUUAAUCAUACAUUAAAAAAUUAAAUAACAUUGGCCCUUUUCAAGCUUUCUCCCUCUUAUAUCACAAACACAGCAAUUAAAAGGCAAAAGAAAGUACCCCAAUUUUAAUAAAUUGAUGAAUUCCUAAUAUGUAUAGCACUCUGUGUGUAACACACACACACACAAACACACCUGCAUAAUAAAAAAAAACCCUGGAGUUUAGUUUUCAGUUGAGUUGCAGACCUUAGUCUCACCUGAAAAAAACCUCCUAUACUUAAAGAAACCUUACCAUCUUCAGGCUGAGACUCUUUAUCUGUAAAUCCAAAAUCCGAAAUACUCCAAAACCAGAAACAUAUUUGCUGCCACCUUCCCACCUGUUUGCCUUUGGGGAAAGGGGCUAUCACAUGUCCAGUGGGGUUACACAAGUUGGCUGUAAAAACAGAUUGAUCCCAAAUUGCUUCUGCACUGACCUUCUGGGAACACUGAAUAUGGGCAGUGAGGUUGAAUGCGGAGUGCCCCCAUUGGCUUCUGCCAGUCUUCUCCCCAGAGCGAGUGAAAGAAUAAGCAGAGGGUGAAUUUUCUUUCCCUUCCUGACUACUUUGCUAAAACGGCAGAAAUAUGAUGACAACCAAGGAAAUGUUUGUGAUGUCUUCUUUUUACAGGGGCUUUGUGUUAAUGGAGUCUUCCUCCGCCCUCCUUGAACAACAAUUUAGCAGGCUCUGGAUGUGUGGCUAUCCUUCUUUCCCCCCAUCCCCACUCACACUAUGAAUAUGUAAAUAUAGGUAUGGAAAGAUAAUUUUAAAAAACCCAAAAUCUGAAAAAUGUAUAAUACAAAGCAUUGUGGAUAAGGGAGACUCAAUCUGUAUUUCCAGCUAUGCAUUGUAGGGAAUAUUACUCCUUGCUGUGGUGCUCCUGAAACAUGGUCUGGGAUAGUUUGUUCUUUAAUAAUGAUUUGAAUGUCCCAGGAAUUGGUCAGGGUUGAAAGUUGUCCUCAAGCAGAAAUCCAGAUAAUUAAGAAAUUUUCAAGGAAACUGAAAUGAAUGAUUUUGUAUUAUCGGAGCAUCAUUUGCUUUCUAUGUACUAUGGACAUUGGUGAAAGAGGCAUGUCUGAAAUAGGAGAGUCACCCAGCUUUCUAAUUUUAUUUUUAGAAAACACAUAUUAAAUCCUAUUUGUUGACAAAUUCACUCAUGCACAGCUGAUAGCAGAUUAUGUUGUCACAAAUGGAAACUUAAGCAAUAUCAGAGAACAGGGUGGCUUUGAUCCCUGUUCUCACCCUCAGCUCCUGGUAGAACAUUUCCUUUUAAUUUCAUGAAGCAAUUAAUUUGUCUGCUUACUUUGCCCUCACUUAGAGGACCUUUUCAGCAGCCACCCCAAGACUGUGGAAUGACCUGCCAGAAGAGCUCCAAAAGCUAAAUUAGCUGUUGGAAUUUUAAAACCAUCUAAACCUAUCUCUUCUGGCAGGCCUACCCAGCCAGUUUUAAUCACAAUUUUAAAACUUGUUUCUUAUGUUUAAUUUUUGUUCUGUGUAUUUUAGUAUGUAUUUUGUAGAUUUCUAAUAUGUGUAUUUUGUAGAACGUUUAAGAUGAUUGAGUGUGUCUUAGCAUGUUCUAACCUGUUCUAGCCACAAGGAGAGGUGGGUAAGAAGGAAAUUAUUAUUAUUAUUAUUAUUAUUAUUAUUAUUAUUAUUAUUUCCUUGCAAGUUAAUUAGGAAAGCAAAUUCUGCCAUUUCCAAUGGUGAAGCCCAAGAUGCAUGCUUUUCAAGAUAUCCAGUUUCCAUUUCGCAAGCAAAUUCAGCUUUCCUGAUAGAUGAAAAUGCUGUUUUUAAAGACGUAAUGGUUACUAGUGAAAAUUAUUUUACAUGCUUACUGUGAACAAAUCUAGAAAUUAUCCAGUGGAUUGGAAAAUGUUUAAAAAGUCAAAGAACUCGGCAAUAGAUUCUGUCUGCCCUAUCUGGGAAUAGAACUCUAAAUGCAUUGUCCUUUUUAUAAAAAAACUAACAAAACAAAACAACAAAAGAUACAAUUAACCGUAAGAACAGAUAGGCUGAUUAGUAUUUCCUUUAUGUACUUGUAAAUUGGCACCCAGAAUCAAUGCUGUGAACCUUUUUCUUACAGGUCAGGUACUUGCGUUCUUGUCUCAUCAUGUACAAACAAUAUUAUAAUCAGAUUAAAAGAUUUUAGAAAUUUGUGUGUGUAAAAGACAGAGAUUACAGUUCUCUAUUUGUCUAUCCUGAGAGUAAUGGUUGAGGAAAAGAUAGCAAGUCACAAUAAGAUAAAUUCUUACUCUCUCUCUGAAAUACUGGCAGCUAAAAAAGCAAAAAAUUUAAAUAUAUGCCAGCCUCCGCAAAACAGAACCAAACCAAACCAAAGCUACCUCAUAAUGCUGAUGUAUGCACACUGGAAGAGGAGCAUUAAUGUCCCUUGUAAUACAUCUGUUUAAAAUCUAACAAGAGGAAUGCUGCACUGAUAAUGCUGUUUGUGGAAACCAUGUGAAUUUUGUAAUUCAUACAUAUGCAUUGACAUGGUAUGCAAACUAUCUGGGUACAUGUUUUUUUUCUUCUUAAAAAUCUCUUUGGUAUGAAAGACAAUAGUGGAAUAAUGGCAAGAAGUAUUGAAGGGAAAGUACAAUAUUGCAAUUAGAAACCUUUUGCAAGGUAAAAAGUAGAUGAAAGCAUAAUAAACCAAGAAUGGAUUUAGGUGAAUGAAAUGUAAAAAAAAACUUGAUUACAUUACAUGAUCUUGUUUUCAAGGUGCAUUUUUUCUCAAGCUGCAUAAGGACAUCUCAUAUAGUCAUUUCCAUUUUCUUCAAGAACAUUAUGGACACAGUAAAACAUUGUGGGACUAUUACUAUUACACACAAAAUAUGCCUUGUUUCAUAAAUCAAUAUAGUAGAUAUGUAAUUAACACGAUGAAGCAAAACAUCUCUUGAAAACUGAAGAAACAUGAUUCUGGCCAGUGUAUUUGGAAUUUCUUAUAAAAUCUGGGGGAAAAAACCUGUCAAGGUACAGAUACCACGAAGUCAGCCCCCAGUACAAAGUAACAAUAGUUUAAUGAAGAAACAGCUUAAAAGAAUCAAAAAUGCUUAAGAGCAGCAAAACAGUAUUCAAAAACAAACACAGACCAAAAAGGAGGCAAAACAGAGUCCCAAAGUGCUAAAAAAUCCCAACCCACUAACCAAAAUACCCGGCAGAGGUAUUCGCUGUUGUUUCAGCGAACACGUUCCAAAAUGAAGUAAAGUCGUAGUCAAGCCGGUCCAGGGGUCAUCCACAGCAAACAGGAUACAGCAGCAGCGUCAACGUCCAAUCCAAAGUCAGGGCACAAGAGCAAACACGAUGUCCAGAAGUGAUCUGAGGUCCAAAUCAAGAACAGUAGCAAAUCUCAAAGAAUCCACAAAGUUCAGGAAUCACGACCCAGCAUAACAUGCAACCCAGCAAACACUUUGCCAGUCGCAAGGUCCCUAUUGCAACCAGCCCUCCUUUUAUUACAAACCUUCCUCUUGAGUUGCAAUCAGCCAACGCCCCACCCUCAGCUGCUCCUGCAUUCUCCUCCAAACUAGAAUCAAACAAAACCCCACGCUCAGCUGCCAGUUGUGCUGCCCGAGCUGCUCUUUGCCUUGCCUGCCAAGCGGCCCUUCUCUUGCUUCUACUUACAUCCUCCAAACAUCAGACAAAUCAUCUUCCCUCCAAGUUUCAUUCCCAACAGAUCUUCUGAAUGUGCCACUACUUGUAGGCUCCUCACCCACUUCUGCUACUUUUGUCCAAUCCAUCUCAUCCACAACCUCAUCAGUGUCACUCCCAGCACUUCUCAUAGAAACUGCUUCAUUGUCAAACCCAGCAUCCCCAUCAAACCCUUCAAAAGACUCUUCAUCAGUGGGUUCAGUAAGUAUUUGCCGAAUCCUCUCCUGCUGUUGCUCUUCUAUAGGAUCUUGUUCCCGAGUAGACCUUUCUGCCUGCUUACUCUCCAACUCCCUGUUGUUACUACUACUCAGAGACUCAUCCACAACAAAACCAGUGCUCCAUUUCCAUGAAGUACUAAAAUUCAGGCCUGUACUAAAAGGCUGAUUUGAAAAUAUUAUAAAUAUUAUAUUCUGAAAUCGACUUGAACAUUUACUAAUUUACCAUACUAUUUAUUUGCUAAUUAGCACAUGGACUAGAAGUCAUUAGAGCUAUAUAUAACAAAGCUGUACAGAUGCAGAUGUAUGGUAUUCUUUAUUUUAAUUUGAAAUUGUAAAUUGUACAUAUUACUUUACAUUUCACGUGCAUUUAAGAUCACAUAAGAGGGGGAAAAGAAGGGUCAAGGAGAAUGAGGAUUGAGGAAACAUGUAGCAGAAAUUGCACACUGGAAAUUACCAGGCAGGCAUAUAACUCUCUGCGUAUCUCUGAACUCGAUGCAAACCAGAAUCUUUAGUAUAUCCAUGCUAGUUAGUGACAGUUCCAUACACACCAGCCAGAGAAAGAAGAGGGAGUGGAAUAUACAGAUGUAGUAAUCUGACUGCACAGUAUAGUGACUCAGAGGUUCUCUGUUAUCUUGAAGAUGGACUACUAGACCCAGAAGUCUGACAACAGAACUGAUGUAGAACAUUAUCUUCCCUGCCAAGGAGGGGAAAAAGAGACAGAGGAACAGAAUCAUAAAGGGACACUGUUAAGAUAAUAAACAUAUGAAAACAAUACAGACCAUUGUAAGUAGCACAUCUUUAAAUUCAUGGCUACACAUUCAAAUACAUUUAUAAACUAUGAGAUUAAUUUCAGCAGUAUAUCAUCUGGAUUCUGAGAUAGCUUUGAGUAUGAAACCUUCCACCUUUUCAUUGGAAGGAUGUUAUUCUUACUUUAAUCACUUUACAAGCAUUUUGUUUCUAAUUUUGAAAAAUAACUUUAAAUUAGAGCUUUUCUAUAGUUUGAGUUUCACCAAGACCAAUAUGGUUGCACUUGCUUUACAAAAAUAUAGGUAAGCGAACACUCUUCCAGUGUCUCCUGAGUUGUCAACAUCACAAAUGAUGCUCCAAAUCAGAAGCUAAACAACUCACAUUACAAGAGCAAUCUGGAAUACCUACAUCUGUUAAGCUACAUUGUUUUCUAUGGUGGAUGGGAAGGAUGCUGACCUAGCAGGAAGCUUGCAUGAAGUCACUUCUUUAUCAGUACCAACACCAAUGGCCAUUUCCUUUAAUUAAACAGCUAAAGAAGAAGGAUGGAAAUGAAUAUGAUAAAGAAAGGAAAAUACUUAAAGCUCAAUACAAUACUGCCUUGAUGCCAUUUGUCUAGUGUUAUAAAAUAUAAACUGCAAACACACAAAGUUUUUUCCUCUAGAUCACAAAUGUUUUAGAAUUAGAAAAAAAACCCACUUGGCGAUUUGACUACUUCAACAAAGUUUUUACAUAAUAUACAUUAAUCAUGUCUAAUAUUAAUAUUUUUAUUUUAUGUAUCACUUGAUGAUAAUUUGCUGUUUAAAUGAUUGCAAUACACAGCAACAAUAACAAGAAAGUAGGUUUAUUUUACACUUCACAUAUAUUCAAGGUGGACUUUUUAGUGAUUUAGCUUCUUUGAACCACAGCCUGUUCCCAAUGAUGGGGAUAUGUUGUUUGAGCAACACAAUACAAAAGUUCAGAUGAGUAGUUCAGACCUAGCCAUGUAGCUCCUCAGUUUGUUCUUGCUCUCAUACAUUUUGGAAGGCUUUCCUAAUAGAUGGUGUGUGUGAGUGUGAAAGGUAAGUACAUCUUCUCUAAGUCAACAGAUGAACAAUCCAACCAUGACAACUGCCAUUGCAAAAUGUUCACUUUUCGAAUUUUGCCAGAGUUCCAGCCUUACCAUUGUUCCCUUCAUUCUACAAGCAUCAUAGAAGCUUUGGAGAAGACAAUUCUACAUGGAGACACAUGAUCAUCUAAGAAAACACUAAUGAGAAGGAAAAUAUGCAGGCAUCACUGGAGGGGAAAAAAGAAGAGAGAAAGUCUCCAGUAUUUAGAUAGUAUUUAGAUAAUAUGUUCAGAUAAUAUGUGUUACGUAAUGGACUUGAGCAUACAGAAGCAUCAGUAAAGUCAUAUGUAAAUGGUGGAUGGUCAACAUGAUUAUGAUGGACCUGCCACAUAACAAAACUAAAAUAUGCUAAAUAAGAGAUCAUUUCAAACAAAAUAAGAAUUUGUGGAAAUGUAUUUUUAGAUAUCUAAAGACAGACAUGAAUGUCUUCCAUCUGUAUGUCUCAGUUAUAUACAUAAGUAAAAUCUGAACAGAUGAGGCUUUCCUUCCAUUAUGGAAUCAGUAAAAUAUGGAAUUCGUAGGUUGCCACUUAUUCAGGCACAGAAUAGGCUUAGGAUCAACAAAAUGUCAGUAUCAUGAGAGACUUCACAUAGGUAUUGAAGAAAUAUAUCUGUUCAGUAGAUCUUGAAAAGUAAAAACAAGCAAAGAAGGCUGUUGUGCACUAAUAACUAGAGAAAUAUAUUAAAUCUUCAUUAAUGAUUCAAAUGUAUGCAUUCUCUUUGUAAGAUAUCUAUUGAUUAGGUAACAGCUACAAGAUUUUAAGGCUGUUUUGUUUUCUAAUGUAAUUCUCUUUAUUUUGUUGGCUGUAAUAUUUGGAUUACUUUUGUAAAAGAUUCAUCCUGAAACCUUAAAUGAGAAUGAAACACCCUUUUAUGUUUUUGUUCAAUUUUUUUUGAAUAACAUUAAAUAAAAAGGAGCUCAGCGUAAGGAUUUAGAGCUGUAUCAUCAAUUGUCAAAAUUAUGAAUUACUUCUCUGUUUGGAAAAAAGCUAUAGUAGUAAAUAAUAAGGCAUCAACUAGCUAAUAGUAAAACCAAAUGAUAAUCUUUAUUUAAUGGAAAUAUAACCUCUGUUUCCACUUACUUUCACUUGGGAUGUUUUAAUUGCUUUUAAUUUCAAAUGUAUUUUAAAUUGCUUUUUAAUGUCAUGUAUAGUGUAAUUACAUUUUAACGAUCUUUUCUUUGUGUUUUUAUCUAUUUACCAUCUAUUUCCAUUCAUAGUUCACCCAGAAUCUCAGUUCUGGGUGGAAAAGGUGGGAUAUCAAUAAAGCAAACUUUCAUUCUUAUUAGGAUUUCAACCAAUUCUCAGAUUUCAUCCGGAUUUCAGAUUUUAUACAAAUAUCAUCCAUGUGUAUUAUUUUAAAUUGUAUUUACCUUAUAUUAAUAUGUUUGAUUUUAACUUGUUAACUUUUAGUCUAUAUUUUUAGUGUUUUAACUAAAGACAAUUUCAAAAAUUU